rnacentral:rRNA from 1 species
CAAUAGCGUAUAUUAAAGUUGUUGCAGUUAAAAAGCUCGUAGUUGGAUUUCUGGUGGGAGCGAUCGGUCUGGCGCUUAGCGCGAGUACUUGCAUCGUCUCCGGCCAUCCUUGGGGAGAGUCUGUCUGGCAUUAGGUUGUCGGGCAGAGGAUCCUCAUCGUUUACUGUGAAAAAAUUAGAGUGUUCAAAGCAGGCUUAUGCCGUUGAAUAUAUUAGCAUGGAAUAAUAAGAUAGGACUUUGGUACUAUUUUGUUGGUUUGCGCACCAAAGUAAUGAUUAAUAGGGACAGUUGGGGGUGUUCGUAUUCCGUUGUCAGAGGUGAAAUUCUUGGAUUUACGGAAGACGAACUACUGCGAAAGCAUUUACCAAGGAUGUUUUCAUUAA